rnacentral:rRNA from 1 species
GUAUAUGGCCAUAAUACCCUGAACACACCCGAUCUCAUCUAAUCUCGAAAGCUAAGUAGUGUUGAGACUGGUUAGUACUUGGAUGGAGCCCAAUAAUAUUUUUAAUGUCAUUUGAA